rnacentral:rRNA from 1 species
UACGUAGGGGGCAAGCGUUGUCCGGAAUCAUUGGGCGUAAAGCGCGUGUAGGCGGCCAGGUAAGUCCGUUCUGAAAGCCCGGGGCUCAACCCCGGGAGGCGGAUGGAUACUGCUUGGCUCGAGUCCGGAAGAGGCGAGUGGAAUUCCCGGUGUAGCGGUGAAAUGCGCAGAUAUCGGGAGGAACACCAAUGGCGAAGGCAGCUCGCUGGCACGGUACUGACGCUGAGACGCGAAAGCGUGGGGAGCAAACAGG